rnacentral:rRNA from 1 species
CCUACGGGAGGCUGCAGUGGGGAAUAUUGCACAAUGGGGGAAACCCUGAUGCAGCGACGCCGCGUGAGUGAAGAAGUAUUUCGGUACGUAAAGCUCUAUCAGCCGGGAAGAAAAAAAGUCCUUUGGACUUUGGUCGGGACCUGACCAAGAAGCCCCGGCUAACUACGGUCCAGCAGCCGCGGUAAUACGUCGGGGGAAAGCGUUAUCCGGAUUUACUGGGUGUAAAGGGAGCGUAGACGGCAGCGCAAGUCUGGAGGGAAAUGCCGGGGCCCAACCCCGGAACUGCUUUUGAAACUGUGCAGCUGGAGUGCAGGAGAGGUAAGCGGAAUUCCUAGUGUAGCGGUGAAAUGCGUAGAUAUUAGGAGGAACACCAGUGGCGAAGGCGGCUUACUGGACUGUAACUGACGUUGAGGCUCGAAAGCGUGGGUAGCAAACAGGAUUAGAUACCCCAGUAGUC